rnacentral:lncRNA from 1 species
CCAAACCCAGUGCCAGACUCCUAACAAGUUAUCAGAGUACAAGAAGUUGGAACUUGUCCUUGAAGGGAGUUCCAGGAGAGAAGGUAGCCUGGACAGUGAUACAACCUCAGAAGGCAACAUGGUACACAAGCCUAUUUGUGAAAGUACUGUGAAACAUGACCCUAUCAGAGAUGAUGGUGAUGUGUAUGACUCUGUCUGUGAUGAGGAAGAAAUAUAUGACCCUGUCACUCCAGAAGAAAUAUUCUGUGUCCAAAUCAACCAGGGAGAGAUCCCAAAUCCUCAGAAGUGCAAGAGUCCAGAUACAAUUUACUGCAUCAUGAAGAAACCCCAAAAGGUGGGAUCACUGAAAAGUGACAUUGAGUCUCCAGAGGCUUCUCUCUAUGAAAAUUUCACCUCAAUAGGACAGUCACUGCCUACCCCAUCUUCUGACUGUGGAUAACAAAGAGGAAGCAGGGCCUUAUUGGCACAUGGAUGAUUUAAGGAUGAAUAUCCCUGCACAUGGGAAGAUCCUGGGAUUUCCCUGCAUUACUCUACACAUAUUCUGAGUUCCCUCACUUUUGUUCCCAGAGCAAACUGCAUCUGGACCAAGAUACUGGUCUGAAGGGUAGACAGAGAGACUCAGGUUCUUCUUGAUUGAUCCCUUACAAUUUUCUGUAAUGACAGGCUGGGAUUGGGAAUUUUAUCUCCACAGUAGGAUGGUCCCCAGGCCUGGAAUCUCUUCUUACCUCUACCUUCUGGUUUUCUGUCUUUCUUAAGACAAUUCUGAUUCUACUUUCUGCAAUAGGCCUUUCCCAACACUCCAUAUCCUGUUCUUCUGAAAUAAACUAUAAAUUACUCUCUCUCUCUCUCUCUCU